GCGAGUGAAGCGGCAACAGCUCAAAUUUGAAAUCUGGCUUCGGCCCGAGUUGUAAUUUGCAGAGGAAGCUUUAGGCGCGGCACUUUCUGAGUCCCCUGGAACGGGGCGCCAUAGAGGGUGAGAGCCCCGUAUAGUUAGAUGCCUAGCCUGUGUAAAGCUCCUUCGACGAGUCGAGUAGUUUGGGAAUGCUGCUCAAAAUGGGAGGUAAAUUUCUUCUAAAGCUAAAUACCGGCCAGAGACCGAUAGCGCACAAGUAGAGUGAUCGAAAGAUGAAAAGCACUUUGAAAAGAGGGUUAAAUAGCACGUGAAAUUGUUGAAAGGGAAGCGCUUGUGACCAGACUUGCGCCGGGCAGAUCAUCCGGUGUUCUCACCGGUGCACUCUGCCCGGCUCAGGCCAGCAUCGGUUCUCGCGGGGGGAUAAAGGCCCUGGGAACGUAGCUCCUCCGGGAGUGUUAUAGCCCGGGGCGUAAUGCCCUCGCGGGGACCGAGGUUCGCGCAUCUGCAAGGAUGCUGGCGUAAUGGUCAUCAGCGACCCGUCUUGAAACACGGACCAAGGAGUCAAGGUUUUGCGCGAGUGUUUGGGUGUAAAACCCGCACGCGUAAUGAAAGUGAACGUAGGUGAGAGCUUCGGCGCAUCAUCGACCGAUCCUGAUGUUUUCGGAUGGAUUUGAGUAGGAGCGUUAAGCCUUGGACCCGAAAGAUGGUGAACUAUGCUUGGAUAGGGUGAAGCCAGAGGAAACUCUGGUGGAGGCUCGCAGCGGUUCUGACGUGCAAAUCGAUCGUCAAAUCUGAGCAUGGGGGCGAAAGACUAA
rnacentral:rRNA from 1 species